UUUAAAUGUAAAUUUUACUUAGUAAAUUGUGGAGUGUACUGUAAUGAUAAGUUUUCAUCUGACAUAUAAUUGACUUUAAAUUAUUUAUUGUGGCUUUAAGCUCAAAAAGAGUUACUAAUUACUUCCUUUUUUAAUUGUACAGGAUCAAGAAAGCUGUGGCGUUACAAGAAAGCACUUGUCCCGAAAGUCCUUCUCCAAACUGACUCUGUUGAGAAAACGGCACCAAACUGACUCUGUUGAGAAAACGGCACCAAACUGACUCUGUUGAGAAAACGGCACCAAACUGACUCUGUUGAGAAAACGGCACCAAACUGACUCUGUUGAGAAAACGGCACCAAACUGACUCUGUUGAGAAAACGGCACCAAACUGACUCUGUUGAGAAAACGGCACCAAACUGACUCUGUUGAGAAAACGGCACCAAACUUACUCUGUUGAGAAAACGGCACCAAACUGACUCUGUUGAGAAAACGGCACUAAACUGACACUGUUGUGAAAACAGAACAAUUUGAGAUAAUAUUGUUGUAAAACCAUAACCAUUUGAGAUCAGACACUGUUGUGAAUACAAAACACCCUUUGAAGACAGACAUUUGUGAAAACUGAACCCCCUGAAAACGGAACCCUUUAAAAACACUGUUGUGACAAGAUAAUCCUUUGAACAGACCUUUUUCCUUAUUUAUCCUGUUAGUAUUUUCUUGUGAUUUGUUUCAGUUCUGGUGAUCUAAAGAAGCAGACUAUCUGAAGCUGAAGACCAUCUCCAUCUGGACCUUAUCUGCAUUUGAAGACUGUCAAACAUCCACAUCAUUACAUUUAGUUAAUUUCCUUGCCAUUUUAUUGCUUAUUCAUAAUUUUAAUCCAACUUUCACGUAUUAACGACUGCACAUUGCUUGUGGAUUGGAUUCCUUCUGUUUUUGAAUUAUAAGUACACUUUAUUGUUAUAUUAAAUAUUGUGUGUG